rnacentral:lncRNA from 1 species
CUUUUUAACAAAUAAAGUUGUCGAGAGAAAAUGCCGCUCCUUUUGAGCCGUUAAAAUGUCAGCACUGGUGCAAGCUGCAGGGAGACAGCCUCCCGACCUCUCCUCCUCACAUCUGCCCAGGGCUCUCAGGGUUACAGAGCACAUCCUAAGUCUGAGCCCCUACCCACAGGGACAACAAGGCUUAACCCUAAGUGGUCCUAUUGGUAGCAAGGGACUUGGAAGAUUCUGGGGGCCUAAACCCUGGUGGGGCCACAGCAUCCUGUCCCUGGAAAGCUGUACCAGUAUGACAUGGAGCGCUCCCUACAGGCACAUGAAAUCACAUAGAAGGGCGCAGAGCUGAGGCUUUGUCAGGCUUAUGGCACUCCUUAUAUGACUGUCCUUGCCUGCUUUCUGUAGAUGACAAAAUUGGUUUGUCCUCUGUAAACCAGUAGCCAAGUUUGGGUCUCAUAAUUAAUCUUUGCCUACAGCUAGUGAUCUGACCAUUUUCAAGUGAAGAGGACUUCAGGGCUGGGCACUGUUCAGCGAGCUCAGAGCAGUUCUCAACAGGAGUGUAUACCUGCGGAGCCAGGGUUACUGAGAUAAAGGACAGGACCCACCUCUUCUUUCAGAGUGGGCUGCCUCUCUUGUAGAUAAGUGCUUCUGUGGCCUUGCUAAGCUGGGCAGGACAGCCCAAUGCCAACAUUUGCAAAGAGGACAGGAUGAGAAUUAUCUAUACCACACAUUAUUAAGAGCCCAGGCACUGCCCCCAGAUAAAGCCGAUACCCAAUCCUUGAUUUACUGGUGCUGGGCUCCCCUACCUGGAUGAAAGCCCAAGGGAAAGGUCACUGUUAAAGGCAGGGCACACCUCCUCAGCCUUCUAAUAGUGCAUUAUCAUAAACCUCCAAGAUCUGCUCGUUUUUAUAGAAAUGCACAAAAUACAAAGAAUAAUGUAACAAGUUAGAAAAUAAAGAAUACAUGUAUACUUUUGGAGACUAAACGUGAGUUUAUAAGAGGAGAAUGCAUGGAAAAUACAUAGAGAGACUGCACACGGACUUUCAGGGGCAGAUACACUUACCUGAAGAAAAGAUGUGGGUUCCCAUGGAUGGGUGCAUACAGGUUACCAUGGAGACAAACAGGGACACCUAUGGAGAGAUGGCAUCCAUAUUUCCAACUCUAUAAAAGCAGAAUCCUCAUUAUGUUGUUAGAUCUGGAUGUUUGGGCCUGAAUCUUAGCAACUUCAUGUACAAUCUAUGCUCAGAUCUGACCUGGCGGCACCCUCUUGCACCUCCUCCUUCCACAACUCUUAUGGGCUUAUGUGGGAAGAUGUGCCAGGGCUCUGUGGAGAGCUGCCUGUGUUGAGGAUCUCAGAGGUCCUCUCACCCACCUCCCAGUUUACUGGCCGGGGACUGAGUCAGCAAGUUUACAUCUUGGACAUUGCCUGGCCACUUCCAUGCACUAUUGGAUUUGGAGAUCAGCAUCCAUGCAACAGGAUGCAGGGUUUUUAAACAUUCUUUUAUAUUUACAGAAACUGUUGCACAGUUUCACUCAGGGAUGCUUCCAACUUUUGCACAUGGAAUACAAGGAGCCCUGAAUUCAGAUCCGAAGGUCUGGGGCAAGUUCUCUAAGUGUUGUGUUAGCUGAGGAAGGAAGGAGCACAUGGUGAUUUAAGGAGAAUUGUUCACCCACAAGCCCAGUAAGUGCUGCCCCAGGCCUGAGCACCCUCCUUGAGUACUGCUUCGCUUUUCCCUGCUCACAUCUGGGCUGCCUAGGACCCCAUCCCUGACGUCAUUCCUGGUGAUGGCCCUCUUGCCAGCCUCUGUGCCUCCUUGAUCUUUCCUCUUCAUGUUUAUGCUCCGUGGUGUUCUUCUGUUCCUGCUUUUGUAUCUUUACUGACCCUCUCCCCUCGGGAAUGUCAGCUGAGAGAGGGCAGAAACUGACUCCAGUUGGUCAUCUGCUCUUUUCGUAGUGCCUAGAACAGAGCUUGGCAUAAGGUGAGCACUCAAUCAAUG